rnacentral:rRNA from 1 species
GACGAACGCUGGCGGCAGGCCUAACACAUGCAAGUCGAGCGAGCGGCGGACGGGUGAGUAAUGUAUGGGGACUGCCCGAUAGAGGGGGAUAACUACUGGAAACGGUGGCUAAUACCGCAUCCUAUCGGAUAACCCAUAUGGGAUUAGCUAGUAGGUGGGGUAAAGGCUCACCUAGGCGACGAUCGCUAGCUGGUCUGAGAGGAUGAUCAGCAACAAUGGGACUGAGACACGGCCCAGACUCCUACGGAGGCAGAAGUGGGGAAUAUUGCACAAUGGGCGCAAGCAUGAUGCAGCCUUGCCGCGUUAAUGAAGAAGGCAUUAGGGUUGUAAAGUACUUUCGGCGGGGAGGCGUUAAGCGCAGAAGAUGCACAGGCUAACUCCGUGACAGCAGACGCGGUAAUGC